GCUCGCAUUUGCUGCUGGGAAACUUGUCUUUGUUGUUCUCCUUUUUCCACUUCAUCCUCCUGUUCUGGAACCAGAUUUUGACCUGCCUCUCUGUCAAGCCCAGGGCGUGCGAGACCUCGAUCCUCCGCUUGCGGGUCAGUGUCUUUUCAUGAUCAUUUGCAUCUAUUACCGAACCCUCACCCGAUUGGCUUCUCCUUACUCCACACGGACUCGGCUCCGCGUGAUGGGACAAGAAGCCGAGGGCGAGGAGAGAAGGGGAGAAAUUUCCAUUUAUUGGCGAGGGGCGAGAGCGGCGCCCGCCUUGCCCCUCGGAUGCCAGCGCUGCAAUUUUCCAGCGCCGGAGCACACAGGGGGUAGAUUUGGAAAUUCAUUUCUGGCGCUCAGCAAAUAUUGCUCCGUUAAUAACGACUCCGAGCGCUCCCCGUCCCCGCUCCCAGCUGGAUUUCCCAACCUCUCUUUUCCACCUCAAUUUGGGGUUUUUUUUUUCCCCCGUUUUGUCCCGCUUGGGUUUCUGCUCUCUCCGUCCGAGGCAAAAAUUGAAUUUUGGGAGGGUUCCGCUCCAGCUCAGGGACAAAAUUCCACCUAAACCGCCCCCAAAAAAGAGGGAAAAUUGGAAUAUUUCAGCUCUUCUCCCUCGGUUUAAAAAGAAAAAAUAAUUAAAAACCCUCAGAGGGGAAAGGCAGGGAGCGAAGGAAAAGAGGAAAAAAAGAGAAAGAAAACAAAGAUAGCAACGGAAUAAAACUUUAGAGGCGUCCUUGGAGAAAUAAUUUGAGUGAAUUCGCUGCCUUGAUUUUGUGCGGGGAUAAUUCCAGGCGAGCCUAAGAGCCUUUCCCGGUAAUUAUUGCUGCUGGAGCCAUAAUUGAGGCGGUUUAGGCUUUUUCCGCCCAAGACGAGUUAACAUUUUCUUUUUUUCUCCCCGCUUUUAUUGCCGGUGGAGCAGAUUUGGGUUUCGUAAAAACGUUUUUUUUUUUAAAAAAAAACCCCUAAAAUGGUGCGGGGAAGUGAACAGAGCUUUGUGAGCUGGCAAAGGGGAUGCUGGAAUAUAUAAAAAUAAUAAAAAAAUGAAAUUAAA